CAUAAGUUAAAUGUUUAUAUGGUCAAUCACAAACAUGAAUUAAUGUUAUAUAUAGUCAGAUUAUUCCCUUUAUAAUUGUCGACCAGGACUUGAAGUUUCUUCUUUUCGCAUGAGCGAGUUCCGUCAUUACGUAUCAUUUGGAUAAAAAAUUGUUCUAUUUCAAAACUAUUUAAAGAUAAUUCAGGUUCUAAACCACCAGGCGGCUGACAGUCAUACCUCUCUUUAGGAGGUCCACCAUGGCUUCAAGAUCUUACACGGCGCAUCUAGUUACGUUUUUUUUUUCCAACAAUUUUCAUAUGGAAUUCCAGCAAGCAAUCCACUAGACGGCUAGAGAGGAUAUAUAUGAUUAGGCAUAGGCAUAUUAACCGAAACCCGAAUCCGAACCGACCCGAAAAACGUGAACUUAAAACCGAACCGAAGUUAAAAAAAAACCCAAACGGGUUUAGGAUUCAAUCAGUCCGGAUACCUAAUCGAUUAUAUAUGAUAUCCAAACCAAUUACCCGAAGUAUCCCAAUAUAUAUAUUACUAACCCUCAACUUACAUCUUCCAUUCUCAUUCAUCUUUUCGUCUUCUCCUUCUUCAAUGUAUAUGUUCAGUACAUAUUCAAAUUCAUUUUAUGACCAAUUACAUGUAUGAAUCACUAUAUUUUGCGC
rnacentral:lncRNA from 1 species